AUAGUACUCCCUCCGUCCGAAAAGCUUGUCCCAAGCUUGUCUUUAAAAUGGAUGUAUCUAGCACUAACUUGGUGCUAGAUACAUCCAUUUGAGGGACACGUUUUUUUCGGACGGAGGGAGCAUUCC
rfam:Triticum aestivum genome assembly, contig: Triticum_aestivum_CS42_TGACv1_scaffold_129453_2BL